AUGCACCUCGGGCUGCAGGGGAAUCUCCUCUCUUGCACCUGGAACACCUCCUGUCCUCCUCCUUCCCUGACCUUGCUGUCUGCAGGGCUGCUCCUCCCAACAGGCUCUCGUUCCUCUCUCCAGCUGCUGCUGCUGUUGUGCAGUAAGUCCUUUCUGCUUCUUAAAUACAUUAUCACGGAGGUGCCACCGGUGUCGUCGGGAGUUCAGCCUCGGCCAGCAGCGGGUCUGGCUGACUCUGCCCAACGUGAGGGUAGCUCCUGGUGUCUCCUCUCAGAAGCCAACCUUGCUCUGGAAGUCCAAUCCAGCCUUCAAAAGAAGGCAUCUGGAUUCCUUGCAGCUCUGGUGAGGAUGCCUCGUGCAUGCAGAGCGAUGGUGGUGUUGUGCUACAGCAGCACGUGGAGAACCUGCCCGGCACUGCACUGCAUGCAGUCCUUUGUCCCAAAGGCAGGCUUGCUAGCUGGUGCUAAUUCACUCACUGAGACAGGUUCAGAGUGCAACAUGCUGUUAUAUCCAUACGUUUCAAAUUGCCAAGCUCAUUGCUUCUGCUGCCUAGUGAUAUUUUGCUAUUCACCUCUAGAGUCUGAACAAUGAAAUGUGAUGUUGUUUGCACUCCGGGCUACUUCAAAUACACAAAAUGCAUGCUUGGUCGGUUGGGAUUGGGAUUUUGUGUACUUUAUGAAGAGUUUGAAGGGAAAUCUGCUCAGACGUUGGAUGGCCUCCCUCUAGUGGCUGCUACUGUGGAACUAAAACAGGGCUGUGAGCUACCUACCCAAGGUUGUGCUUGCAUCAACCACUGUAUGCCAUGAAAGUGAGUAAAUUUGGGAAGAAGUCUUAUGCCACAUCAAAAUAUAAAUCAGAAACACUGUGUUAUUGCCAGAGCUUAGUUACUGCUUUUUCAGUCCUGAAAAUACUUAUCUUCCCCACUUUCCCUCUCCCCCUCUGUGUCCUUACAUAGGACGAUCUCAGGACACUGGCAAACCAAAAUCUGCAUGGGAAAAAAUUUUAAGUUAUUUUUUUUUCCCAGUUCAGUUAGUCAGCCAGGUAGGACAAAUAUGCAAGCCCCUGUUUUCCAGACAUGGACUCAUGUGCCUGAAAUCCUAUCAGAUUUUUUCAACCAGGCACAUUGAUCUAGUAAAAGAUGCUAUUUACUAUUACAAACCUUGUCCCAACAGAUAUUUAAAGAACAGGUAUGAUCUGGGUAAUGCAGCAUCUUUAAUCCAUUUCCAGUAAUUUUCAGUUAUUCUCUGUAGUAAAUAUCAGUAUCUUUGACAAAAUCUUAUCUGUAUGUAUAUCCAGCAGUUGUAUUCCUGUGUUUAAAAUCUUGCUAAUUAUGAUCCAUUACACUUAUCUUUUAGACACAAAAAGUGCCAGGAAUGCAUGGCUGUGUUUGUGUUUUUGUAGAAAAAGAUAGCAAUGACAGGGUAUCAAGACAAAAGUUGGAGCUAGAAAACAUCUCAUUAAAAAUGACAAAAAUGGAAAGCUCCUACAGCUGCAAGAGGAGCUUUGCCCUGGUGUCUCCUUUUGGAUCUCUCAUACUUUGGCCUCCAAGUGUUAAGUGAUUUGCAGACAGUGUGAGACAACAAAGCUGCAUUUAUAGAAUACCCCUAAAAAUCCUGUCUCAUGAGUUUAUGCUCUAACACAGCAGAAAUUAAUGUUGCUACUGCUAUUCGCUUGACUGCUUUUAGUGAUGUUGUAGGCUGGAGUGUUGUCACCUGAAAAUACCUGUUGAAUUUUCUCUGUCAGCAAAGAGAAAACAACUUAAGUGUGUAUUUUUACUCACACUAGAUUUCCCACAAAAUAAUUCUGUCUGCAAUUUGUGUAUUUUCACUGGUUUCAGUAUAGUUGUGUUGAUCUGAAAUUGCUGUCAUUGAAGCUGACUGAAUUUCUCAUUUUUUUUCUCAUCAAUACACAUGACUAUAUUAUGGAUUAAGGAUUCUUGAAAUAAAAUAUUUGUUACUAGCACAGGAAGAAAUAAUGGAGAAAAAUGCUCACAUUACCAUGACAACCUUCAUGGCUCUCUUCCAUAUCAAUCCACUUCACUGCUUCCACCUUCCCAUCAUGUGUUGGCCAUGGAUCCUGGGACAUCUGAAACUAGGUAACAGAAAAUCAAAUAGUUAGUCCUUUUAAGAGCUUUGAGCUCAGGUUCAUCUCCACUCUCUGGGACCUUUCUCCGAAGAACUGGGGUAAAAGGCUUUGGAAUACACAUCAACAGAUGUCUGGCUGCUAACAUGGUUGUCAAGUUUCUUCACUGAGAGAAGCUUUCAUGACACAGACAAGAUGUCAACCCAAAAGACCUAAAGAUUUAAUUUAAGAAAUAAAAUCCCUCUUCUGCAACAGCCUCAGUAUGAUACUGCACAUCAUCAUUCAUCCUCCCAACCAGCACUGCCCUCCAAGUGUUAUUUGAACACUGGGCCCUAACCAUAGUACAGUAAAUUCACGAAUACAAGCCGCACUGAGUAUAAGCCGCAUCUCUGGGUGUCGGCAAAUAUUUCGGGUUUUGUCCAUACACAAGCCGCACCUGAAUAUAAGCCGCUCUGUCAUUCGCAGCGAGGACCCGCAUGCAACAAAGUUGCCAAAUACUAACAGAACGGUGGCAUGGCGGGGUUUACUGGCUCAACUAAGGCUGUGCAGGCUCGGCCCGCUAGGGGCUGCUGACGGGGCCAGGUGGCCCAGCCCGGCGCUGC
ensembl:lncRNA